UACGUAGGCAGCGAGCGUUGUUCGGAAUUACUGGGCGUAAAGAGUGUGUAGGCGGUGCUCUAAGUUCGGUGUGAAAUCUCCUGGCUUAACUGGGAGGGUGCGCCGGAAACUGGAGUGCUCGAGCGUGGGAGAGGAAAGCGGAAUUCCUGGUGUAGCGGUGAAAUGCGUAGAUAUCAGGAGGAACACCUGCGGUGUAGACGGCUUUCUGGACCAUUGCUGACGCUGAGGCACGAAAGCGUGGGGAGCGAACAGG
rnacentral:rRNA from 1 species